GGUGUGUCUACUGGUUGUGCAGCCAUGGCAAAAGCUAAGGAAGAAGUCAGAGCGUCCUCCAGCUUGGAAGACGAACUCACCUGUUCCAUCUGCCUGUCUCUGUACAAGAACCCCGUGUCACUCUGCUGCGGUCACAGCUUCUGCAAGCAGUGUGUCCAGAAGGUGCUCAGUAACCAGCAGCAGGCCAAGGCCUCCUACUCCUGCCCUCUAUGUAGGGUCGAUCUGGGGCCUAUCCUGGAGCUGCAAAAUAACUUCCAUCUGUGCAGCAUCGUGGAGACAUAUCUGGCCAACAAAGGGAAGAAGGACAAGGGCUUUGCAACGAAGAAAGAAGAGGCAGUUCCCUGUGACUUCUGCCUUGACAAGCCCCAGCCGGCCGUGAAGAUGUGCCUGAGCUGCGAAGCCUCCCUGUGCCAGGCACACCUGGACAAGCACAGCGCCAGGGCCUCACAGAAGGACCACGUCCUGGUGGAGGUGGGCAUGGGUGGCCCCAUUGAGGAGAGGAGGUGCCAGGAGCACGGCAAGGCCUUUGAGUUCUUCUGCCAGAACGAGAGCCUGUUCAUCUGCGCGCUGUGCUCCAUCGCGGGGUGCCACAACGGCCACAAGAUCCUCACUCUGAGGGAGGCCCACAGUAUGAAACUGGAUGACCUCUCUCACACUGUGGAUAGGCUGCUGAGAUACAGAAGUGAUGUAUCUAUCGCCCUUGAGGAGCUUCAGCAAAACAAGAAUCAGAUUGAGACCAAUACGAAAACAGUGACUUCUCUGGUGCAAAAGAAGUUUGAAGAGAUAAAGACAGAGAUAAAUAAGAAAGAGAAGAAGAUCCUCAGUGACAUUCAGUCCAUUGAGAAAUUACAACUAGCAGAAUGUGACAAACUGAGGAAAGAGAUGGAAGAACAGAGAGAUGAGCUUGUGCAGCAUCUGAAGUCCUUGCAGAAGAUAAGAGAACAACCAAACACUUUCUGUCUCUUCAGAGAAUUUAAACUGGUGCAGAAGAGCAUUCCGAGUCACAAGUUCAGGAUCCGUAAGAAGGACGUGCAGAUGGUGCUGCUGGAUGAGGCCGCUAUCAGCAGCUUCCAGACAAUGAUGGGGGACUGCUUGCUCCAGCUGGACAUGUACCUACAAGGCGUGCAGAGACAAAUCAUUAACCAAUUUAAGUGGGACAGUGAGGACCCAGCUGCUGGUAGCAAUUCAAACAACACAUUUAAGAAGUCACAACAAAAGCCAUGGCCUAAUUUUUACUAACUGCAAUAGAUGGAGGCAGGUGGUACAGUAUAAUACCAACUGAAAGGAUGAAGAUGUGGACAAUGUGAAUCAUAUACAUAUUUCUGGAAGUAAGGGAGAUGCCAAAAAGUUCAGAAGAGAGAGAAAGAAGAUAAAGAUUGUCUAAAAUGUUCUUUAAUUCCAGGUAGCCGCUAAGUGUCUCUGUCUUCCAUAUGAACCUCCUAUUAAAAGCAAUUCUAUAGCAAUGCAAAUUUUGAAAAGAAGUGCCAAAUAUUAACAUGAACAUAAGAAAAUCUCCAACUAUAUCAUCUUGUAGCACUAACGUUAGUUGUGUCCUAUUAAUUGUAGUGACUAGGCUGUCAUUUUAUGGUGGCAUAGCCAAAUAAAGAGCUGUAGAUAUAAAUGAGAAAGGCUGUCUGAUUUCAUACCAUCAGUGUUGGGAGCACUGCUUGUGGAUGGCUGCAGUAGAAAGUUGUUCAGGACGAUGGCACAUAUUUGGAUAACCACAUGUAACACAAGUGAUCUUUAUAGCAAAGAUAGAAUUACCUUUGUAUGAACAGCUUAGUCAGCCUCUGUAGUGGAAAUGCUAAGUCAUGGCCUGAAGCAGUGAUUGAGCACCUGGUGGGAAGGCAGGGCCAACCCAGGGGAGUUCAGGUGUAUGCAAUGCAGCUGAGUGGCCAGAAGGGAUGGAACCAGGAUCCAGCCCCUCCUAGACCCUCAUUUAAGGGUUGGCAGUGGAGGUGAGGGUAUCUUGCUGGAGAUCCCUGCCUACCUGAGGCUUUCUGAAGGUAAGCAGCUUCUUUCCCUUAUUUCUGUGCCCAUGGCUGUUGAGUUUGAGCAAAUCCUUGCUUGCUGCAGCCUAGAACCUUGCUGCUUUGCUGUCAUUGCCAUGCUUUGUGUUGUUACAACCUCCAAGACACAUUAAACACUUGUACAGACUUCAUAAAGAGCCAUUCAAAAUACCAUGGUCAUCCAUCAGUAUACAGAGAGACUGAAAAAGGCCAGAUCCCAAAGCAGAACUUUCUCUGUUAGUGUCCUCUCCUUUUGAUGUGAUGGAGAGAUGACUGAAAUCAGUGUUUUAUGGUGUGAGGACUGUGUGCUGACAGGGUGUGCGAUGAAACUGCUGAUGUCCGCUCCCUUUCCCAGUACAGGUGGAAGUGCAUGUUAUGUUUCAUGUGGCUGGUGUCUCCCCUUUCACACUCCAAUUUCAGAUUCUCUGGUCUGUGUGGCUGCUGGCCUCCGUUUUGAGCACUUAAAAAUUAUAUAUGGUGCCCUCAACGCUCCCAGUAAAAUGAAGAGACUUUGCCUGGUGAAUUUGCACAAGAUGAAUCACUUAAAUAAGAACACUUAAUUAAAAAAACAAACAAACAGAACUUGAUAAGUAUGUAAUGAAACUCAGCAUCACAAAUGAGCUUUGGAAAGG
rnacentral:lncRNA from 1 species